rnacentral:rRNA from 1 species
UGUUUCGGCUAGGGGGCCAUCCCGGCUUACCAACCCGAUGCAAACUGCGAAUACCGGAGAAUGUUAUCACGGGAGACACACGGCGGGUGCUAACGUCCGUCGUGAAGAGGGAAACAACCCAGACCGCCAGCUAAGGUCCCAAAGUCAUGGUUAAGUGGGAAACGAUGUGGGAAGGCCCAGACAGCCAGGAUGUUGGCUUAGAAGCAGCCAUCAUUUAAAGAAAGCGUAAUAGCUCACUGGUCGAGUCGGCCUGCGCGGAAGAUGUAACGGGGCUAAACCAUGCACCGAAGCUGCGGCAGCGACGCUGAUGCGUUGUUGGGUAGGGGAGCGUUCUGUAAGCCUGUGAAGGUGGCCUGUGAGGGUUGCUGGAGGUAUCAGAAGUGCGAAUGCUGACAUAAGUAACGAUAAAGCGGGUGAAAAGCCCGCUCGCCGGAAGACCAAGGGUUCCUGUCCAACGUUAAUCGGGGCAGGGUGAGUCGACCCCUAAGGCGAGGCCGAAAGGCGUAGUCGAUGGGAAACGGGUUAAUAUUCCCGUAC